AAAAAUUAGAUGGUAAAUUAGAAGUAAGGAAAUCAAAAUCCCACUCUCCUGAGGGGGAAAGCACAUCCCUCACAGAAAGAGUCGUGUCAAUAAUAAUUUGAUUAGUAACAGAGAGCAAAGAAGUUCCACUCGGGGUCCAUUUAUCCAGCCAAAAGUUGAUAUUGUUUCCAUCUCCCAACUGCCACACAAUAUUCUGCUGGAAUUUUUCCCAAAUACCUGUCAAAGCUUUCCACAAAGGAGAGUCAUAGGGUUGAGAGCUU
rnacentral:lncRNA from 1 species